rnacentral:rRNA from 1 species
GAUGAACGCUGGCGGCGUGCCUAAUGCAUGCAAGUCGAGCGAACGGACGAGAAGCUUGCUUCUCUGAUGUUAGCGGCGGACGGGUGAGUAACACGUGGAUAACCUACCUAUAAGACUGGGAUAACUUCGGGAAACCGGAGCUAAUACCGGAUGAUAUUUUGAACCGCAUGGUUCAAUAGUGAAAGACGGUCUUGCUGUCACUUAUAGAUGGAUCCGCGCUGCAUUAGCUAGUUGGUAAGGUAACGGCUUACCAAGGCAACGAUGCAUAGCCGACCUGAGAGGGUGAUCGGCCACACUGGAACUGAGACACGGUCCAGACUCCUACGGGAGGCAGCAGUAGGGAAUCUUCCGCAAUGGGCGAAAGCUUGACGGAGCAACGCCGCGUGAGUGAUGAAGGUCUUCGGAUCGUAAAACUCUGUUAUUAGGGAAGAACAUAUGUGUAAGUAACUGUGCACAUCUUGACGGUACCUAAUCAGAAAGCCACGGCUAACUACGUG